UACGGGGGGGGCAAGCGUUGUUCGGAAUUACUGGGCGUAAAGGGCUCGUAGGCGGCCAACUAAGUCAGACGUGAAAUCCCCAGGCUCAACCUGGGAACUGCGUCUGAUACUGGAUGGCUUGAAUCCGGGAGAGGGAUGCAGAAUUCCAGGUGUAGCGGUGAAAUGCGUAGAUAUCUGGAGGAAUACCGGUGGUGAAGGCGGCAUCCUGGACCGGCAUUGACGCUGAGGAGCGAAAGCUAGGGGAGCAAACGGG
rnacentral:rRNA from 1 species